GCCCUAAUAUUCAUUCUAUGCCCCUCUCGCGAUCCGCCGAACCAUCAUUUUUAGGCAAAAAAUCAAAUCCCUAAAACUCACUUCGCUCCUGUCUGAAUAAAAUCCCCAGUUUUGGUCUUACCUUUCUUGCUAUGCUAUGCCGCCUCAAUCAUCAGGUUUACUUAUUGGGAAGGGAGAAUUAUUUGGAUUGAGUAGAUUCGGAAAAGAAGCCAGCUCUGCCUGAGAUGGGGCUGCCUUCCCCCUAUAAAAUGAUAGUGAAAGAAGGUAUAUAAAAUUCAAAAUGCAAGUUUUUGUAUCACAGGGAUGAAUUGUCGUGAUAGAGAGUCCUUUGUUGCUCUAUGUUUCAGAUUCUGGGGUAUUUAAACUUGGUAUGGUGGUAAUCCACGUCUCAAUUGUGCGUGUUUACAUAUUGACAGUUGGUAUCCCUCGGAUCUGUGCUCGAACUUGAUCACCCAUGGCUCUAGAAUCGAGGGGUAUCACAAGUAAUGACAGUGGUGGGUUUAUUUUGGACCGUGGUGGGUAUUUUGUACUAAUGGUGUAAUGUGGAUGGUUUAUUUUGGACAGUGGUGGUUUUUUUUUUUAAUGUGUGGCUAUUUUGGACAGUGAAUGUGUUGGUUUAUUCGACAAUGUAUGGCAAUGUAAUGACAGUGGCUGUUUUUAAUGUAUGGCUAUUUUGGACUGUGAA